rnacentral:lncRNA from 1 species
GUAAAGUUGGGGUAAAUGCCUCUAUCAGCUCACUUUGUGGCCAGAUAUAGUCACUCUUCACACCUAUUCAUUCCUAUUAUUUAUAGGGAUUGUUCUUAUUUUUCCCCAGGUUAAAAAUUUCAAGUGAUCAAGGAUCAUAGAAUCCACUUUCUAACCAUCUAAAGAAAGAAAACCGACAGAUUCCAUUGAUCUGGCGUGGAGCUGGAUGGAUGUCUUUCGGGAAGAAGAGUUUUCAUUAAAGCACAACCACAACAAAGCAAGAAAAAACAGCACUUGAUAUGCUCAGUUGCAAGAUGCAAGAAUUUGGGAAGAUUUGAGCAAAGGAUAGGAAGGAACAGUAUAUUCUGGGAAUGCAGGAUUUCUUCCUUUGGACCUACUUCCAGUGGGAAUCCCCGUGAAGAUCCUCUCUUCCAUCUGUCUGCUGAAACACAAAGAGAAAUGCCACGAAAUGAGAGC